UUCUUCCCUUUGCAUGCAAAUCGUUCCCACCCCCCUCUCUCUCUCCUCUCUCCCUCCGUGUGUCUCUCUCUAUCUAUCUCCCCUUUCUCCGGAGCUUGUGAGGCUAGCAGCAGAUGCUAGCUGUCAGUAAACGACGCAUCAAAAUAAAAACAGGGCUGCUUUUAUUUCCCCAAAUGCUCGCUCCCCAUUUCUCUGCUCGGUUUUUUAAAAAAAGCCAUUCGCGUUAAAAAACAACAACAAAAGCAAGCGACGACGGCGUUUUUGUAACCGCAGUGAUACAAAAGAAAAAACCUCCACACGGCAAGAAAGUGUUCAAAUACCGAACGAGGAAGUGUAGAGAAAGCAGGCCGCGUUUUAAUAUAUUUUUUUUUUACUCAUUUUCCUCCGGAGACGCCAUUUUUGAAGGCGGCUGGCCGCUGUCCGUCCUCCCUCUCCCCCUCUCUGUCUCUCCGCCGAGACUCACCGAGUGUCUGCGGUGACCUCCAUUCACCGAGCCACAGUCUGCCAAACAAGAGCUGCACCUUUUUUUUUUCCUCCCCUCUCUCUCUUUCUAUAUCUCCAUAUUAUGGACAGGCUAAUUGUUAUUUAGACUACUUUUUUUUUUUUACACGAACAACAACACACACAAAAAAGGGAGUCAGCUGUUUGUGUUGAACGCUGCCAUUGGCUGAGACGCGUUCGAGUGCAAAAGUAUUUCCAGCAAUAACCAGAUAUAUAUAUAUAUAUAAAUAAAUAAAUCACAAAUUCAACAUCCGAAUCAGAAACAGAGGUAUUCCUCUAAUCAGAUGUCUAAUUAAUUAAAAAAAAAAAAAAGGCUUGCAGCUUGGCGUGUAUCAGCAUGCCAACAUGGGGUAUUUUCUCCCUUCAGAUAUGCCAAGAUACCAAGACCUGUUUCAGGCCCUUUUUUUUUUGUGUGUGCUAAUUUUAGUAUUUGGAGAACCUGUCUGCCAGACCCCAUAUGCACUUGAUUUGCUCACCAGCAGAUGGCACACUGGAUUUUAUGACCGGGCAGCAGUGCACCUCCACAAAAUCCAGCUCUCUUCUGUCAACAUGCCAGACUCUAACGAAGCCGUGCCAGCGCCAUGCCAGGUUAUCAAAGAGGACAUUGACAAAUGUGUCAGAGAGAAAGGAGCAGAGGGUUGUAAAGAUCUGAUAGAUGCCUUCCAGGCCUGUAUAAAAACCCUGUCUGAAGGAUCAUAAUACAAAAGGAAACACAUCUUAAUAAAAUCAUUCCCCUUCUGCGUAUUGCACUGGACCGAACCAUCUGAAAAACAGAAGAGGGGGGUGGGGUUGUUAUGAACUUGUUAUGAACUUGUUAUGGACUUCUAUGAUACUUAUUGUCUAUGUACUGUAAUAUUUUUAUGCACAAAUAAAAAUAUUUCUAAAAAGCUUGUCCAUUUUCCACACACAGCAUAUUCAUUUCAAUAAAAAAUGUUAAA